rnacentral:lncRNA from 1 species
UGCAGCAGCAUGCAUGUAUGUGGACAUGAUUAGUGAUUCCGGUGAGCACUCGGCCGGCCUAGCAACUCUUCAGCCAUUCUAGUGCGAGUAGUAUGUUCAAUAAGAUGCAGCUUGUCAGCUUUGCAAGAUUGCUCUGAUUGCCGUUAGCACAAGCAGUGGCUCUGCAAAGCAUGGCGGGAUUAUGGCAUCUCCAGGAUGAUUAACAUAAUCGGUGCUAGCUAAUUACCUUUGACCAGCCUUUUCCAUCUCUAGAGGUAGACCUAAUCUACAUGGUAGAGACCACGGACGCAUCAUGAGGCUAAGGUGUCACUAGUUCCGCAACCUUGCCGCGCUAACACUUACACCAAUCUUGGAGUAGCCAACCCCAACAACACGAAGCUAGCUAGGGCGCACGCGGCAUGAUGUAGUUUCGGCCCCGGAGCGGCCGAUGCCGUAGCGCAAAGCGGCAUGAGGCAAUGAAUGGCCGGAGAGCACGAGCCGAGCUCUCUUUUGCGAGC